AUUGAACGCUGGCGGCAGGCCUAACACAUGAAAGUCGAGCGAGCGGCGGACGGGUGAGUAAUGUAUGGGGACUGCCCGAUAGAGGGGGAGAAAUACUGGAAACGGUAGCUAAUACCGCAUAAAAUCGGAGAACCCAUAAGGGAUUAGCAAGUAGGUGGGGUAAUGGCUCACCAAGGAGACGAGCCCUAGCUGGUCUGAGAGGAUGAUCAGCCACACUGGGACUGAGACACGGCCCAGACUCCUACGGAGGCAGCAGUGGGGAAUAUUGCACAAUGGGCGCAAGCCUGAUGCAGCCCUGCCGCGUGUAUGAAGAAGGCCCUAGGGUUGUAAAGUACUUUCAGUCGGGAGGCGUUACCGACAGAAGAAGCACCGGCUAACUCCGUGCCAGCAGCCGCGGUAAUAC
rnacentral:rRNA from 1 species